rnacentral:lncRNA from 1 species
UCUCAGCGCCGGGUUACGUUUCAUCUGCCGGAUGGUUCUCAGGAAAGUUGCAGCGACAGCGGCGUCGGAGACCACGAACCCAGCAGCACCGCAAGUACGUCACACCCUUUGCCCCUUGGUUUCCCACAAGAAGAGUACUACGAACAGACCUCGCCCAACAGCCGGACAGAAGGAGACGGCAAUUCGGAUCCAGAAUCAAGGAAACAAGAUAGAUCAGAAUUUGAAACAGCACCAAGAAAAUCAUUUACUAAGGUGAAGCUGUGGAAAGCAGAAGUGACAACAGUUAUACGGGAACCUUAGCGCUUGAUGUUAAGCUGUUCUGUCACAUACCAUCAGCUGGGUUAUUAUGUGGCACGCAAGCUGUAAUAAAUUGUCAGAUUUGCUUUUUAGCCAAAACAGCACAAUGGAAAUUUGAGCUGCGUUUCAGGAUGAAGGUGGAAGGGGUUGGAGUAGGAUCUACGUGAAACUUCUGAUUUUCUUCUGAAAUUCAGAAACUUCUGAAACAUCUUACAUGACCUUACAUUUUUGCUGUCUACUGCGACGGUUGCGUAAUUUACAAAAUGGAAGUAACUGCCUGGAACAUCACUGCCUCUGCUUUUUAUUUUAAUAGAAUAAAGGGUUGUUUGUGUGUCCUUUUCUCUUUCUCUGUAGCAUCAAGUGGUGACUGGCUGGCAUGGAGAACUGGGUCCCCUUCUACACUGCCUUAUAAUGCAGUUUCAAAUUGCAUUGUAUGCUCAGUGUAGACUAGUAAUGCAGUUUAACAGCCUGUGGUUCACCCUCAAAUAGAUGACAUAUGUCAUAUCAUUUCCUCUAUAUAAUGCUUAUAGCAAGUAGACUUGUUCUUUUGGAGAAAACCUUGUCUCAUUUCGUGUCCCAGCUUUCUUUGGGGGGCCCGAUCCAUUUUUGGAAGCCUCCUUAAAUCAGGAAUGUAGAUAUUUAUUUUUGGUUUAGGGCACCGAAAAUCAGACCAAUAUGGGAGGGGGCUUCUCACCCACUGGCUCCCCUUCCCGUGUGCUUUAAGGAGGCUUCUGUUCUUCUUACCUGGCACCUGUUGUAAGAGGCGCUCAUCUGCAGGCAGUAAAAAGCGCUCAUCUGCAGGCAUGCUUCAGACCUACCUGCACACCCUGCCACACACACUCUCUCUUUCCAAGGCAAGGAGGCAAGUUUGGCUGCAGAUGAAAUCAGAUUUUCGUGUCGAGCAGAUUUUCAUGCCAGAAAGGGGCUUCCCAUUUUGUGCUACAACGAAAUGAAAGACAUGAAAGAAACGGUAGAAACGAAUUUCGUG